UGCGUAGGCGGCCCGGAAAGUUGGGUGUGAAAGCCCUCGGCUCAACCGAGGAAUUGCGCCCAAAACUACCGAGCUUGAGGAAGACAGAGGUAAGCGGAACUUAGGGUGGAGCGGUGAAAUGCGUUGAUAUCCUAAGGAACACCAGGAGCGAAAGCGGCUUACUGGGUCUUUUCUGACGCUGAGGCACGAAAGCUAGGGGAGCGAACGGGAUUAGAUACCCCGGUAGUCCUAGCCGUAAACUAUGAGCACUGGAUUGGAGGGUCUCCCAUAACCUUCCAGUCGUAGCGAAAGUGUUAAGUGCUCCGCCUGGGGAGUAUGGUCGCAAGGCUGAA
rnacentral:rRNA from 1 species